rnacentral:lncRNA from 1 species
CUGUUUCUUCAUAUCUUUCCUAACUCUGAUGUUCCAUGUCCUAAGGGAUCUCCCAACUCUGAAAUUCGGUGUCUUAACUGGCUUCCCAGCUCUGAUAUCCUAGCUAGGGGCAGCUAGGUGGCAUGGAGGACAGGAUGCUGAGUCCGGAGUUAGAAAGACCUGAGUUCAAAUCUGGCCCCAGACAUUUACUAGCUGUGUGACCCUGGGCAAGUCACUUAACCUCUGUCUUCUUCAGUUCCCUCAGAUGUAACAUGGGGAUAAUAAUAGUACCAGGAUUAUAGUGAAGAUUAAAUGAGAUAAUAUUUGUAAAGAGUUAAGCAUAUUGGCACACAGUAGGCACUAUAUAAAUAUUAACUAUUCUUCUUUUCUGUUCUAAGGCCCUUGCCAGCUCUGAUAUUUUCUAUUCUGAGGGAUGAUCAGUGAAAAGGAUAGUCUAUCACAGUCCAGACUUGAUCUUUGCCUCUUCCUUCUCUUCUACAGAAGCUUUCAAUCAAGGCACCAACCAAGCUCUCUAUGGAAAGUCCAUCCCCAGUGGGGCCACUGCAGGAAUUACAAUUGGCAUCCUGGUAGGGGUGGUUUUGACAGGAGCAUUUGGGUACUUUGUUGGUGUCAUGAAGUCCCAGGUCAGUAAUGCUGUGGAAGUCAUCGCAGCAAGUCCCCAACUCAGAUGGCAAGCAAUUUGAUCAGGACCACACAUACAUUAUCAUGUAAAGCCCACUUCCAUAUUGGCACACUCAUGGAAAACCAAAACUCAUCUGAAUCCACGCAACUGAACAGGUAUUUCCCUGGAGGAGGAGAGCAUUCCCCAGCAUGCGUGCUUCAGGGUUGUCCCAGAUGUUUGCCUUUCUGAGAGGAGCCAAGGUGUCACCAUUGAUCUUUGUACAAUAUUGCUGUUACUGUGUACCAUGGUCUCCCGGUUCUGCUUAUUUCACUCUGCAUCAGUUUCUGCAGAUCUUUUCAUUUUUUUUCUGAAAUCCUCCUGCUUAUCAUUUCUUAUAGCAUAACAGUCU